rnacentral:rRNA from 1 species
CCUGCCGCGUGAGGGAGGAAGGCCUUCGGAUUGUAAACCUCUUUUCUCAGGGAAGAAAUUCUGACGGUUCUUGAGGAAUCGGCCUGACCUAACUCCGUGCCAACGCCCGCGGUAAUUCCGUGCCACC